AGGACGAACGCUGGCGGCGUGCUUAACACAUGCAAGUCGAGCGGAAAGGCCUUUCGGGGUACUCGAGCGGCGAACGGGUGAGUAACACGUGAGUAACCUGCCCUUCACUUUGGGAUAACCCUCGGAAACGGGGGCUAAUACCGGAUAUGACCUGAGGUUGCAUGACUUUGGGUGGAAAGCGUUAGUGGUGGGGGAUGGGCCCGCGGCCUAUCAGCUUGUUGGUGGGGUGAUGGCCUACCAAGGCUUCGACGGGUA
rnacentral:rRNA from 1 species